rnacentral:lncRNA from 10 species
CCCUGCCCAGCCGCUGGCAGCCGGGACACUGGCCAGAGCAGUCCUGCCAGAUCCAGGCUCCCACAGCACCCCACAGGGCAGCGCAGGUGGGAAGCAAGUGGAUGGUCUCCAACUUCGAAGCCAUCCCAGCAAGCCCGCGGGAGAGAACCGUGCCCAUAGAGGUCUCAACAGGUUGUCCUGUGUGUCCACAGCCUCAAUAGGAAGAGAUUCUAGAUGUAUUUUGUGCUCACUGACGUGUGUUUGACAUUUCUCAACAACCCGUUUAUUUAGAAACAUCAAUAAAUGAAUGUGUAAUUGGAAAUGUUUUGGCAGGGCCUCCACAUUCUUCAGCCUUGACGAGUGAUCCUUCAUCGCUAGUGACGGCUCUCUGCCUGCAUCAGAGUUCAGCAGGCAUAGAGAAAGCUGACAGGCAAGUCUCUUUCCACUGAUAGCUGGAAUUUGGCAUUGAUGGUGUGAGCUCUCUGCAAUCAGCUUAGAAUUGCAUGGUGCUGCGAUGGAAAAUGGGGUUGACGCUGAGGCCGAAAUACCGCUGUGCUCAAAAUACUCACAGUGCAGGGUGGUGUCAUCCAGGAAGCAGGCGACAGAGCUGUGUGGCCGGCUCCACAGAGGACAAGGAUGAGAAAUUGAAUAACUUCAAUCCAGCACUGGGGUCAUAUUCCCCAUAAGUAAAAACUAAAAGUACUCUCUGCCAUCAGCAUGCGCCGCAGGACUUUGGGCCGUCUCAACCUAAGGGACACGUGUGGAUCUCAGGAGCGGGAAGAGCAUGCUGUUUUCAAGCCUAAACCCACCCUUACACUCAAAUGUAAAAGUUAAAAAAAAAAUUCCUAUUAAUCUGCUGCCUCAUGGGAACAGAACAACCCUCCUUUGUAGAAAACAGAAGACCGAAUGCUCAGUACACAAAGUAUGUGAGCAGCAGCGAAUCUGUACAGGGCUGCAGUCUCCAUUCUCACCUCAAAGGAAAGAAUUCGUCCGAGGGGAAUAAGGCAGAGUGAGAGACUGAGGCAAGUUUAGGGCAGGAGUGACUAACUUAGCACCUCUUGGUGCCGUUGAGUCAUAGACAAUGUGUCUGCAAUCCUAAAAGAAUAAAUUAAACAUAAUUUGGC